UACGGAGGGGGCUAGCGUUGUUCGGAAUUACUGGGCGUAAAGCGCGCGUAGGCGGACCUGCAAGUCGGGGGUGAAAGCCCGAGGCUCAACCUCGGAACUGCCUUCGAUACUGCGGGUCUCGAGUCCGGGAGAGGUGAGUGGAAUUCCUAGUGUAGAGGUGAAAUUCGUAGAUAUUAGGAAGAACACCCGUGGCGAAGGCGGUUCUCUGGGGACGGUACUGACGCUGAGACGCGAAAGCGUGGGGAGCGAACAGG
rnacentral:rRNA from 1 species